GCAGUACUCGACCCUCUUGAUGAAUUUCUUUCCAGCUACACGAAACCCCACUCCAGGUAUCCCAAUCACUUGUUGGCACUGACAGCCAUGUCUUUCCACUCUUCAAUCAGCUUUUGGUGGGCUUCUUGUAUUUCACGGUGCUCGAUUUCACAUUCCUAAAUCCUCUUGCGCAGUUGGUUGUAUUUGACAUGUGCUUAGGC
rnacentral:lncRNA from 1 species